AGUGAACGCUGGCGGUAGGCCUAACACAUGCAAGUCGAACGGCAGCACAGUAAGAGCUUGCUCUUACGGGUGGCGAGUGGCGGACGGGUGAGGAAUACAUCGGAAUCUACUUUUUCGUGGGGGAUAACGUAGGGAAACUUACGCUAAUACCGCAUACGACCUACGGGUGAAAGCAGGGGAUCUUCGGACCUUGCGCGAUUGAAUGAGCCGAUGUCGGAUUAGCUAGUUGGCGGGGUAAAGGCCCACCAAGGCGACGAUCCGUAGCUGGUCUGAGAGGGUGAUCAGCCACACUGGAACUUAGACACGGUCCAGACUCCUACGGGAGGCAGCAGUGGGGAAUAUUGGACAAUGGGCGCAAGCCUGAUCCAGCCAUACCGCGUGGGUGAAGAAGGCCUUCGGGUUGUAAAGCCCUUUUGUUGGGAAAGAAAAGCAGCAGGUUAAUACCCCGCUGUUCUGACGGUACCCAAAGAAUAAGCACCGGCUAACUUCGUG
rnacentral:rRNA from 1 species